CUAAUAUUGAUCCCAAAACGCCCUUCAAUCCUCAUAUUAUGCUAAGUGACUUGGCUAACGCCUCGUAUUCAACUGCUUGGCAAUCGGCAUUUUAAGUUAAAUAUCAGUGCACAACGCGUCUAUUCAGGAUGUUGCGGUAUCAAAUUGAUUAAAAGAAUAUAUACAAGCUAGUCACCUAACGUCUCCUUGAAGUCGUUCCAGUCGUAAGCAACGCUUUCAUCCACAUCACUGAAAAAUAGCACCAGGAAUGUAGCCAAAAUUACCGCAAUUUUUGCCAUUAUAUAUCUGUAUAUAUUUAAUAUUUGAAACGUUUGUUUGUUAGUAUAGCUAUAAAGGCGUUUCUCGGAAGUAAG